AUGAGGGGGGCUACGAAGUCAACCACCUGCUCUGGCACUGCGUGGCCGCCUGGUCUUGUGUGCAGAACAAUAGUCCUCAGCUGAACGAAGUGCUUGAACAUCUCCUCUUCCACAAGAAGCAGCUUCAAACGAAAUGCUGGUUGGAUUCAACGCUGGCAUUGUUGGUUCUGGGGGAGGCUGCUAAGUUGAACAUGGCCUGCUUGAAGACUCUGAUGGAUCUAGUGAAAGAUUUUCUUCUGAGCAUCUUCUCUGUUCAGAGCCAGGAAGAGAACUAUCAGGCACAUGAACUUCCCUGGGCCUCUGAUGUCAUCUUCUCAUAUACAACAAUUAUUUCAGAAGUGUGUUUGUACGCAGCUACCUCUUAUCUGAGGAAAACGGCUUUGAUUGGGUUCUGUGACUGUACAAGUUCGCAGAAGGAGACUUUA